rnacentral:tRNA from 1 species
UGGGUUGUGGCUCAAUGGUAGAGCAUUUGCCUCACAUGCAUGAGGCCCUGGGUUUGAUCCUCAGCACCACAU